rnacentral:rRNA from 1 species
GUAGGUGGCAAGCGUUGUCCGGAAUUAUUGGGCGUAAAGCGCGCGCAGGCGGUUCUUUAAGUCUGAUGUGAAAGCCCACGGCUCAACCGUGGAGGGUCAUUGGAAACUGGAGAACUUGAGUACAGAAGAGGAAAGCGGAAUUCCACGUGUAGCGGUGAAAUGCGUAGAGAUGUGGAGGAACACCAGUGGCGAAGGCGGCUUUCUGGUCUGUGACUGACGCUGAGGCGCGAAAGCGUGGGGGAGCAAACAGGAUUAGAUACCCUGGUAGUCCACGCCGUAAACGAUGAGUGCUAAGUGUUAGGGGGUUUCCGCCCCUUAGUGCUGCAGCUAACGCAUUAAGCACUCCGCCUGGGAGUACGGCCGCAAGGCUG